UACGAAGGGUGCAAGCGUUACUCGGAAUUACUGGGCGUAAAGCGUACGUAGGUGGUGAGCUAAGUCUGUCGUGAAAGCCCCGGGCUCAACCUGGGAAUGGCGAUGGAUACUGGCUCGCUAGAGUGCGGUAGAGGAGAGUGGAAUUCCCGGUGUAGCAGUGAAAUGCGUAGAGAUCGGGAGGAACAUCAGUUGCGAAGGCGGCUACCUGGACCGGUUCUGACACUGAGGAGCGAAAGCGUGGGGAGCGAACAGG
rnacentral:rRNA from 1 species